CAAAAGUAGGAAGAGGAAGAAAAAAUCUGUAGAAGAAUUCUCCACCUUGCUCUCAAUGUAUUCCUGCUGCCAAGGGUGUUGUCUAACCCUAAGUAGUGUCUCUUGCCUCCUUAAGUCUAAUUUUUGUCCAAAAUAUAUUCCUUCUUAUUCAAAAUAGGUUUAGGACCCCUUUUAUAAAAGUUGGAACAAUUUAGGGCCGAAAUAACCUUGUCACGGGUGAAAUAGGACUUCUUUUGGAUGCCUGAAGCGGCGCGACCAUGGCCAAAACGCGGUCAGACAAGCUCUCCGAUUUUCUGCCAUGGACAGUUCUGUAGUUGCAGUUUCAACCGCGUUUUUCACCCUGUUCUAUUUUGAAUUUGGAAACCCAUAAAACGAAAAAGUUGUAGCCCUUUGAGUUAGAUUUCCAACCAUAUAUUAUAAAACUCAAAUGGAGUUUUGAGAAAAAAACUAUGUCUGUUUUACUAGAUAGUGUGCAAUAUGCCUCCUCGAGUCUUCAUUUUGUUGUUUUUUCAUCCAUUGAUCCCCGAAUAUGAUCCCGACUUAAUUCCUUGGGCUUUUACUCAGAAUUCAAAGCUCCAAAUUACUUGAAUUUAUUUCAUAACAUCUGUAUAGUUCGGAAUUACUCCUGCAAGGCAUAAAAUACAUUAUUGGUGCAAAACACUGACGAUUAAAGCGUAAACUCAACUAAAGUGCAAUCAUCACUCGUUCUCCCUUUUUUGUUGAUCUUCAAUUAAACAGGGACAAGCAGGGAAUUUGUAAUGGUACUAAUUAUCUCCCUUUGACUAUUUCUAAUAGCCUUGCUAAGCUAGGAAAUAGUAAUGUCCUCAAAGACUAUGUAAUCUUUUGUUUAGUAAUAUAAUCUUCGUGUUUCCUUUCAAAAAAAAAAAAUAAGCGAUUAAAUGAAGAUCACUUAGACAAUAAUAAAUAAUACAUGAGCAAUUUUUAAAUAAUACAUUAUCUAAUUUUGUCUGCUAAAAAAAUACUAUCAAACAAAAUUUAAAAAAGUAUAAAUGUAAAAGGCAUAAAGAAAAAUUUACAACUUUUUGCGUCUCAGUGAAAUAUUAUCAUAUUUCACGUUCAUUUAGAAAUAUUUUCUUUGAAGUCUCUUUACUUUACCGUUACUGUAUUGGGAAAUUUUGGUCCCCUAUAUUCUUAGGUUAUCUAUGCACGCCUACGAUGUAGAGAACAGCCUAAUCAAGGCCGACUCGAAUAAGGUCGGCCCCAGCAAACGGACGGACCAAACGACAUGACUCAAGACGAUGUCGCUUAAAGUUCUGACUUUCCCGUAUACUGAGACCAUCAACCCCUUGUACUUUUCUUUGAUUAUUUCGAGUAAGGUCCCUUAAUAUGUAAAGGGGACCUUCCCGUUAUAAAGGACUUAUGUGUAUCUUAUAAUUAAGAAUGUACAACUCUCCCUCUCUCUAUCUCUCUCUUUCUACUGAAAAACUCAUUACUUGCUUUAUUGUUCUUACAUUCUAAGAUACCUUCACUAUCAUCACAGAUCCUAAUAAAAUGACUUUCUCUAGUUCAUAUUACCCUUGAUUCUGAUUAGCCUAUAUUAUUUUUUUAUUGUUCUUGAGCUUAACAAGUAUUUAACUUUUUAGCCAAACAAUUUGGCGCCGUCUGUGGGGAUUUCGUGAAUCAAAGUUAAAGUUUGCUUCUAGAGAUCUUUCAAAAAACCACCUUUUACAACACGGAAUGGCUGAACACAACGCAAGAAUGAAAGCUAUCAUGGAUGCUAGAGCCGGUCUUAUGGGCCCUUUCAAAGCGGCUACUGAAGGGGAUGCUCCACACGAAACCCAUAGCACCCUGGUAAGCGUGGAAAACCUACCUUCCCCUUCUGAAGAUCUGGUGGUUCCACGGGAAAAGGAGGCCUCUACAUCUAUAACCAAAGAAGCACGCCCAGAGGUAAACAGCUAUUGGAAGAAUGGUUGACAAGGGCUCUGAGCAGCUUAACCGGAAAACCACCGAACACCAGAUGCACACCAACACCAGUGACGGACCAUGCCAUAAUCGAAGAUGAACUCGAGGUCACACGAACAAACAAGGUGCCCGCCGUUGCUCCAGCUCACAGGGGAUGCUCACAACUAUCCUCAAAAAGAUAGAAGAAAUGGAAAACGAAAAUGUCAAACCUCCUUUUGGCGCGCCUACCCCGAGAGGUGGAAUGCAUAAGGGAGUUUUUCCAAUUUAAGUGACAAUAUUUGAAAUGGGAUUAUUUAUUUAUUUCAGAGUCGCCACUUGGGAAAGGUUUGGCUUUUGGUGUCCCAAGUCACCAGUUUAUCUUGAAUCCCAAUUCGAGGAAAAUGACUUUCCAAAUGAAGUCUGCGAACCAGAAAUUCUAAGUAAGGAAUUUUGUUGACCCGAGAGAACGUGUUAGGCACCCCUGGAUCCCGUGGUUCUAGCACGAUUGCUUAAAUUAUUGUAACGGCUAAAUAUCUGAUUUUAAAACAUGUUAUAACUUAUGUGCUUUUAUUAACAUUAAACCGCUUUAUUAUUAUUUUUUAAUAGAAUUGCAACGUCGUGAAAACGCGUCUCGAACCACGUCGCAAUCAAUGCACCCGUGGUUGUUGACACAUUUCGACUCCGUUGAGAUUUGGAUUUAGGUAACAUAAACGCGCACCCAUGUUUAGGGAGAAUAUAUUAUUAAAAAUGCGCCUAAAGAGACUAACGCAUUGUUAUCUUUGCGGGGGCCAUGGAAUUCGUUAAAUGGCACGCCUCAGUUCUAAAGAGUUUAAAGAUAUAAUUAAAGAAGAUUAUACUAAUGACAAAUUUAUUAUUAUUGCAAAAGUUUGGUCGAAGUUGCGCGAACGCAUACUCCAAAUUAUUUUUUAUAAUCGUAAUUAUAAAUGUAUACAAAAAUCAAUAAAUUCAACACGCAUCUUUUACUAAAUCUCAAUUGGUACACAUAACAAGUUCAGGGAUUUUUACCCGUUAUUCAUUCCAUGGAUCUAAUUCAAUGGAUCAAUUAACAAAGUAGCACAUAGGCAAUACCAAAGUUGUAAGACGUCCGAACUUCUGCUAGUUUUAAGUAAUAUCCCCACCUAAACACAUACUUCGUAUAGAAUGCCCAAAGUGACAAAAAUAAUAAAAUCAAGUCAAGGUUCAGUUGUUAGUAGUAUAUAUAUUAUGAAAAUAUGUAAAUGAAAAGAUAUGGCCUGAAAGUGACUAUCUCUCUUCUUCAGCAAGAAUUAUAUGAACCAAAUCUAAGUUGUCCUAUUUAGCUAUUCACACAAGAAUAUAUCCAUCCUUUAAUUACUGUCAACGAUUCGAAGGACUCAAGAACAGUAAGAUGGAAACUCCUUCAACUAAUGAAACUUAUGGUGUCCUAUUCGUGGUAUGAAAUAACGACUUCAUAUCCAACUUUCAGCUAAUCACAAUAUCAAAUCUAUAUAAAGAUAAAGGACAAUUCAACUAUGAUAAAAUAAAUAAACCAGGAAAUUAGCAUGGUACAAUUACAACUCAAACAGGACAUUAUGAUAAAUACAUAUCACGGCAUGAAACAAGGAUGAAAGAAGCAUAUUAAACUAAUCAUGAACUAAUGUCUGCCAAUUAAACUUCGAAGCAUUUCAUUUCCAUUUUUCUCGAAUCAAAUUGGAAGGUUACAUUUGUAUGAAUUUCAGAAGUGUGUACCUGGAAGUAAAAUGAAAGGAAGAAAAAGUGAGGGUCAGUAGCACAACAACAACAGCUCAGCAGUAAACCAGAGACAGUUGAAUCCAAUAGUAGCCAAGAAUAAUUCAAAAUUCAACCAAACAUCCCAUGAGAUUAACUCAGACGCUAAUGAAAAACAGCAAACUCUGUUUGCAUAAAUCAGAACAAUCUUUCUAAAAAAGAUCCAAUUCAAACCACUUCAAAUCCCUCAAUGAAUCCCAAAUUGUUUCAGCUAAUUGGAGCAAAGACACUAUUGUAAUAGUAUAAGAUUGCAACUAUUUGUAUUUCUAGAUCUUCUACACUCUCAGUGUGUCUAAUUUGUCAAACUCAAAGUGUUUUUCUAGUAAGCUCUCUCUUGUAUCUCUGUUAAACUCUCAAUUUCUCUUGACCGAUUGUCUUUUUUCAAGUUUUUGUUCUCCAAAAUAUGAUCCCUUAAAAUUAUCCAAAUGACUCCUAUUUAUUUGAAACAAGACCUUCUUUCCCUCCCCCUUUAACUAUUACUAUUACCCUUUUAUUAUUAGCUCUUACUUUAAUUUCCAACCCCCAAAUAUGCUCUUCUAUGUGUGCUUUUCAGCUUUUUAUCAUUACUUAAAUAUUCCUAAUUCUCAAUCAACCAAAAGCAGUCAAAUGUUAUCAUUUUCAAUGGUCCCCCCUAAUACUCUUUGUCUAUUAACUUUUCACUUCCACUUAUAAUUGUCUCCAAUCAGUUUAUUAGCAUCUUUAACUUAAUUACUAGUGGUUAAAUUCAAAUAAACACCUGAAAUCCCCUUUCAAACUGUAACAUACCCACAACUAAAUCUAAUUCAAACCUGCUAACUAAUUAAAUUGACUCCUAAUCGAUACAAAUAAAUUGAAUUUAAAUAAAAAUCACAUAAAAGACUUAACAGAAUACUGAAGUUGGAACUUAA
rnacentral:lncRNA from 1 species